GACGAACGCUGGCGGCGUGCUUAACACAUGCAAGUCGAACGGAAAGGCCCUGCUUUUGUGGGGUGCUCGAGUGGCGAACGGGUGAGUAACACGUGAGUAACCUGCCCUUGACUUUGGGAUAACUUCAGGAAACUGGGGCUAAUACCGGAUAGGAGCUCCUGCUGCAUGGUGGGGGUUGGAAAGUUUCGGCGGUUGGGGAUGGACUCGCGGCUUAUCAGCUUGUUGGGGGGGUAGUGGCUUACCAAGGCUUUGACGGGUAGCCGGCCUGGGAGGGUGACCGGCCACAUUGGGACUGAGAUACGGCCCAGACUCCUACGGGAGGCAGCAGUGGAGAAUAUUGCACAAUGGGCGGACGCCUGAUGCGGCAACGCCGCGUGCGGGAUGACGUCCUUCGGGUUGUAAACCGCUUUCGCCGUUGACGAAGCGUGAGUGACGGUAAUGGGUAAAGAAGCACCGGCUAACUACGUG
rnacentral:rRNA from 1 species